rnacentral:rRNA from 1 species
UACGUAGGGUGCAAGCGUUGUCCGGAAUUAUUGGGCGUAAAGAGCUCGUAGGCGGUCUGUCGCGUCGGCUGUGAAAACUCGGGGCUCAACCCCGAGCCUGCAGUCGAUACGGGCAGACUAGAGUGCUGUAGGGGAGACUGGAAUUCCUGGUGUAGCGGUGAAAUGCGCAGAUAUCAGGAGGAACACCGGUGGCGAAGGCGGGUCUCUGGGCAGUAACUGACGUGGAGGAGCGAAAGCGUGGGGAGCGAA